rnacentral:rRNA from 1 species
ACAUGCAGUCGAGCGAACAGAAGGGAGCUUGCUCCCGGAUGUUAGCGGCGGACGGGUGAGUAACACGUGGGUAACCUGCCUGUAAGACUGGGAUAACUCCGGGAAACCGGAGCUAAUACCGGAUAGUUCCUUGAACCGCAUGGUUCAAGGAUGAAAGACGGUUUCGGCUGUCACUUACAGAUGGACCCGCGGCGCAUUAGCUAGUUGGUGGGGUAAUGGCUCACCAAGGCGACGAUGCGUAGCCGACCUGAGAGGGUGAUCGGCCACACUGGGACUGAGACACGGCCCAGACUCCUACGGGAGGCAGCAGUAGGGAAUCUUCCGCAAUGGACGAAAGUCUGACGGAGCAACGCCGCGUGAGUGAUGAAGGUUUUCGGAUCGUAAAGCUCUGUUGUUAGGGAAGAACAAGUGCGAGAGUAACUGCUCGCACCUUGACGGUACCUAACCAGAAAGCCACGGCUAACUACGUGCCAGCAGCCGCGGUAAUACGUAGGUGGCAAGCGUUGUCCGGAAUUAUUGGGCGUAAAGGGCUCGCAGGCGGUUUCUUAAGUCUGAUGUGAAAGCCCCCGGCUCAACCGGGGAGGGUCAUUGGAAACUGGGAAACUUGAGUGCAGAAGAGGAGAGUGGAAUUCCACGUGUAGCGGUGAAAUGCGUAGAGAUGUGGAGGAACACCAGUGGCGAAGGCGACUCUCUGGUCUGUAACUGACGCUGAGGAGCGAAAGCGUGGGGAGCGAACAGGAUUAGAUACCCUGGUAGUCCACGCCGUAAACGAUGAGUGCUAAGUGUUAGGGGGUUUCCGCCCCUUAGUGCUGCAGCUAACGCAUUAAGCACUCCGCCUGGGGAGUACGGUCGCAAGACUGAAACUCAAAGGAAUUGACGGGGGCCCGCACAAGCGGUGGAGCAUGUGGUUUAAUUCGAAGCAACGCGAAGAACCUUACCAGGUCUUGACAUCCUCUGACAACCCUAGAAGAUAGGGCUUUCCCUUCGGGGACAGAGUGACAGGUGGGUGCAUGGUUGUCGUCAGCUCGUGUCGUGAGAAUGUUGGGUUAAGUCCCGCAACGAGCGCAACCCUUUGAUCUUAGUUGCCAGCAUUAGUUGGGCACUCUAAGGUGACUGCCGGUGACAAACCGGAGGAAGGU